GCUCCUAAAAUGAGCAAAUAAGCUGUGCAUCAUCUCUGUGAUUUGGGAAGGAAAUGACUGAAUAUGAUGAAGCCAGUUGAUGAAGAUAUCAAUUGAAUGGCCACCGAGUGCAUCACUGCUACCUGAACCCAUCAGUUAUCUUCUGUGAAGACUGCAUUCACAAACCGCUCUACUGCGACAGCUCAGAUGUUACGGCCUGUAAAAGUAAACAUCACAGCUAAACAACGAGAGCUAGUUGUGGUGGGAUUCUUUUGGCCAAUAUCCCCAACAAGAAUCAAUGACAUCUAGACCAGGUGGAGUGUGAGGAGGACCGUCAGAGACUCCAGCCACCCGAGCCAUGGAUUGCUCUCACUGUUACCAUCAGGCAUGCGUUAUCACAGAACCUACACCAGCAGACAGUGAGACAAGUUCCUUUCACAGGCAAUCAGACUGAACUGAACUCAUACCAGUAAAACCAUACACACCCCACCAACCUCAUAUGCCCUGCACUCUUAUCAGUUAUGCUGACUGGACUCAAUAUUAUUAUGCACCCUGACAUUCUGUUUGCACUAAUUCAUACCGUGCUUUACUGCAGAGAUGUAUGUGUACUGUGAUUAUUAUUGUUUUCAAUUCAUGCUCUUUGUAUAGCAUAAUUUUUAACAUAUAUUGUUAUCUACCUGAAUUGAGUCCCU